CUGGGAAGCAGAUCCUGUGUAAUUCCCAUCAGCUAAACUGACUGUGUUUCUAGAUAAAGCCACUAUACUGAUUAUGAAUGUCCUCCAUCCCAACAACUCCCACAAGAAAUACUAUAUACCUCCAACUGAGAGGCCUGGAAAAGAUGUGGAAAUCCAUCCGGACAUUAAAACUCCAGAUGUUGUUUUUGAAGCAGGGGCAACUCAAUACCAGGAUAUGGCUAAAUGCCUUUUCAACACGUACAAUACAUCCAAGAAAAACACUGCUACAAAAUGCAGUUCUGACUGAGCAAGAAAGAGAAAGAACGAGAGAAGGAGCUCAGCUAGGAAACGUAUGGCAUGAAGGGUUAACAACUUGGACACUUUCCAAGA